AUUGAACGCUGGCGGCAGGCCUAACACAUGCAAGUCGAGCGGAUGAAGGGAGCUUGCUCCUGGAUUCAGCGGCGGACGGGUGAGUAAUGCCUAGGAAUCUGCCUGGUAGUGGGGGAUAACGUCCGGAAACGGGCGCUAAUACCGCAUACGUCCUGAGGGAGAAAGUGGGGGAUCUUCGGACCUCACGCUAUCAGAUGAGCCUAGGUCGGAUUAGCUAGUUGGUGGGGUAAAGGCCUACCAAGGCGACGAUCCGUAACUGGUCUGAGAGGAUGAUCAGUCACACUGGAACUGAGACACGGCCCAGACUCCUACGGGAGGCAGCAGUGGGGAAUAUUGGACAAUGGGCGAAAGCCUGAUCCAGCCAUGCCGCGUGUGUGAAGAAGGUCUUCGGAUUGUAAAGCACUUUAAGUUGGGAGGAAGGGCAGUAAGUUAAUACCUUCUGUUUUGACGUUACCAACAGAAUAAGCACCGGCUAACUUCGUG
rnacentral:rRNA from 1 species